rnacentral:rRNA from 1 species
AGCGAACGCUGGCGGCAGGCUUAACACAUGCAAGUCGAGCGGGCAUCCUUGUGGUGUCAGCGGCAGACGGGUGAGUAACGCGUGGGAACGUGCCCUUCGGUUCGGAAUAACUCAGGGAAACUUGAGCUAAUACCGGAUACGUGCGAGAGCAGAAAGGUUUAUCUGUCGAAGGAUCGGCCCGCGUCUGAUUAGCUAGUUGGUGAGGUUAUGGCUCACCAAGGCGACGAUCAGUAGCUGGUCUGAGAGGAUGAUCAGCCACACUGGGACUGAGACACGGCCCAGACUCCUACGGGAGGCAGCAGUGGGGAAUAUUGGACAAUGGGGGCAACCCUGAUCCAGCCAUGCCGCGUGAGUGAUGACGGCCUUAGGGUUGUAAAGCUCUUUUCUCCGGGACGAUAAUGACGGUACCGGAGGAAUAAGCCCCGGCUAACUUCGUG